rnacentral:tRNA from 1 species
GGCUCAGUCGAUAGAGCAUGGGACUCUUAAUCCCAGGGUCGUGGGUUCAUGCCCCAC